AAGGAAUAUUGGUCAAUGGACGAAAGUCUGAACCAGCCAUGCCGCGUGGAGGAUGAAGGUCCUCUGGAUUGUAAACUUCUUUUAUAUGGGACGAAAAAAGGGUUUUCUAACUCGUCUGACGGUACCAUAUGAAUAAGCACCGGCUAACUCCGUGCCAGCAGCCGCGGUAAUACGGAGGGUGCAAGCGUUAUCCGGAUUCACUGGGUUUAAAGGGUGCGUAGGUGGGUUGGUAAGUCAGUGGUGAAAUCCCCGAGCUUAACUUGGGAACUGCCAUUGAUACUAUCAGUCUUGAAUACCGUGGAGGUCAGCGGAAUAUGUCAUGUAGCGGUGAAAUGCUUAGAUAUGACAUAGAACACCAAUUGCGAAGGCAGCUGGCUACACGAAUAUUGACACUGAGGCACGAAAGCGUGGGGAUCAAAC
rnacentral:rRNA from 1 species